rnacentral:rRNA from 1 species
UACGUAGGGUGCAAGCGUUGUCCGGAAUUAUUGGGCGUAAAGAGCUCGUAGGCGGCCUGUCGCGUCGGAUGUGAAAAUCCAAGGCUCAACCUUGGACCUGCAUUCGAUACGGGCAGGCUAGAGUUCGGUAGGGGAGACUGGAAUUCCUGGUGUAGCGGUGAAAUGCGCAGAUAUCAGGAAGAACACCAGCGGCGAAGGCAAUCCCCUGGACCUGUACUGACGCUCAUGCACGAAAGCGUGGGAGAACAACGAUG